rnacentral:misc_RNA from 1 species
GUUGUGAUUUUAAUCGAUAAAAGAGAGAUAUGGAAGGAGCACAGAGAGCUGAGAAGAGGAAGAGUGAACCAAAAAUAUGGUCUUUAAUUAAUAAAAAAUUAUGUUUCCAGCAAGUGCAACCAUUAGUUGUGAAGCCUUGUGUUCUACUGGCAGAAUUGCUUUGUUAGUUGGGGACGUAUGCCUCAGUUUUGGCUGAGUUGCUGUGGCUUCUUAUUGAUGGUGGAUCAUUUCCUCGUUGCUUUGGUUUCCAGUGGGUAUCUCUAGCUCAGUCUCACUGUCAACGGUGUUGUUGCGCGAAGAAGACCUUUGUGUUCUUGCUGAUGUUUCGUUUAGGGUUCGACGGGUUAGGGAGCUGGGCCUUUCUCGGGCUUGGAAUUGGGUAGGGAUUGUCUUAUUGUAGUUAUUAUUAUUGUGGCUGUAAGACUUCAUAGGUAUAUAUGUCCAUUGGGUGUUUAAUACAAAGAAUUAUGC